UACGUAGGGGGCGAGCGUUGUCCGGAAUGAUUGGGCGUAAAGGGCGUGUAGGCGGUCUGAAAAGUCUGGAGUGAAAGUCCCGUUUUCAAGAUGGGAAUUGCUUUGGAAACUUUCGGACUUGAGUGCAGGAGAGGUUAUCGGAAUUCCCGGUGUAGCGGUGAAAUGCGUAGAGAUCGGGAGGAACACCAGUGGCGAAGGCGGGUAACUGGACUGCAACUGACGCUGAGGCGCGAAAGUGUGGGGAG
rnacentral:rRNA from 1 species